CCGCCGCCGCGCCCCGCCGCCCCGCCCGGGACGCUCCUCCGAGCUGGGGGCGAGGGGCGCCGGAAGAGCCCGCGAUUUCGCCUCUGCGGUCCGGGAGGGGGUGGGGGCGAAGGGGAAAGAAAUAAAUUAAUAAUUCAGUACCCAAGCCGACCCGCUGCCAAAUGCAGCGGAUCCAGGCAGGUGCCGGUCGAGGCGUCCCCUCCUUCAGAUAAUUGCUACCUACUGGGCUCGGCUUAUCCGGUUUUAUUUGUUUUUGAUGUAUUUUGGGUACACGGAGGCUGGUAUCCUGUUCAGAAUCUUAGAGAAAGGCGAGGAAAGGAAAUGCACCCCCUACACCACCCAUUUACCGAUAUCGCAGAGAAGACUGUCUACAUUUCCUAGAAUCUCCACCAGUGGGAUCUGAGCAAGAUGUGGCAUCAAAUUUUCAAGCCAAGCCUUCUAAGAAGUGUGCCCAUUCCAUAUUGUAUUUGUUCUCCUGCUGCGGAAAGUGUAGAGGACCCAAGAAAUCAUAAUACUACAACCUGAAGGUGUUCCUGUCCUGAAACAGAGCACAUAAAUGAAAGUCACCCACCAACUAGAAAAACUUAGUGUUUCCAGUGUAGCAACCACUGAAAUGAUAACAGGAUUACCUUACUUUUGUCAUUAGUUGAUCAGUAUAUGGAUGUCUUUGGUCUAUACAGAUAGGAUCAAUUAACUGACAUCAGCAGUAGAAGGCAUAUUUUGAAUUUGAACAAGAUGUUUAAGUCACUUUCACAAUUUAAGGAAGUGUGAUUAAAUCAAAAUAAAAUUAUUUACUUCUGGUAUGUGACCUGAAGAGAGUUGUUAAUUCAUAUGCAAUCAAAUUAUGAAAAGAG
rnacentral:lncRNA from 1 species